rnacentral:lncRNA from 12 species
GCCAGGUAGAGCACUUAGAAAAUUGAGUCAGGAAGAGGCUGUACAAACAUUUCAGGUCACUGGUAACCUUUGUAGAUUAGUACAGCAUUCAGGCAUCCCAUUUGGUAUGGUUCUUAUGGCUGGGUGGGGCUUGGGGGAGUACAGGUCUCUGGACGUGCUCUCUCCUGCCAUAACCUUUAGUGUUUAGUGAAGGAAGGAGAUGGGCCUUUCCAGGAAAGUCGGUCACAUCCAAGUCUGGCUCUCUAGGAAAACUGCUUUCCAUUGAGCAAGUACAACUUUGCUCCACUAAGGAAAGAGGAGGCUCACCGGCCAUGCAACUUUUAAGAUGGCUUGCCAAAUGUGCCUGGAUAGUAAAGCUGAGAGCAGCCAUUAGUGAUGUCAUGUUUAUGUCACUCACAGUCACAGUCAGUUUCCCGAAGCAGGCCUCACACACAUGAUCCUGUUCACACUUACAGAUGCCCCAGGGAAGGUCAUUAUUGAAGCUGCAUUUGUAGUUGAGGAACUGAGGCUUAGAGAGGUCUUCACCCAUCCAUGUCUGCAGAGCUGUUGUGAUGGAAAGUGACCCUCCUGUCACGUCCUGGUGCUCUUUCCUCUCCAGUCAGCUCUUCCUGAGUAAUACCCCUCCUCCCGUCCUCCGGCAGGGCUGGGCCAGGUUGGGAGCUGAGAGCUUCCCUUUGCUGCUGCCCAUGCCUGUGCCCAGAUAGGACAGAUUAUUUCGUCACUAACAUGACAUGGCACACAGCACAUGGGCAGAGAGGAAGCAGUUGUUGCCAAGCCUCUAACAGAUGGGAAGGGCCCACAGCCUUCCCACAUGGAGCUGAGACAACCACCCAGAUGCACUCUGAUGCGUGCCCUGAUUAUGAGGAAGCAGCCACCAUAUGUUUACCUGCCACUGAAGCUUGCUCUGCAGUGCCAACUCUGACCUAAACUCCAUGUAGGUGGAGGGUGGCUAGAUGGGAGGAGGAGAGGCCAGGACACGGAUACCUCAACAACAGGAAGAUUAAAGUAUUUCAGAAAUUACUUUCCUUAUAGUCUUCCUUUUUAUUUUUAAAUAAUAAAUUUAUUUUUUAUUGGUGUUCA